GGCGAACGCUGGCGGCGUGCCUAAUACAUGCAAGUUGAGCGCUGAAGGUUGGUACUUGUACCGACUGGAUGAGCAGCGAACGGGUGAGUAACGCGUGGGGAAUCUGCCUUUGAGCGGGGGACAACAUUUGGAAACGAAUGCUAAUACCGCAUAAAAACUUUAAACACAAGUUUUAAGUUUGAAAGAUGCAAUUGCAUCACUCAAAGAUGAUCCCGCGUUGUAUUAGCUAGUUGGUGAGGUAAAGGCUCACCAAGGCGAUGAUACAUAGCCGACCUGAGAGGGUGAUCGGCCACAUUGGGACUGAGACACGGCCCAAACUCCUACGGGAGGCAGCAGUAGGGAAUCUUCGGCAAUGGACGAAAGUCUGACCGAGCAACGCCGCGUGAGUGAAGAAGGUUUUCGGAUCGUAAAACUCUGUUGGUAGAGAAGAACGUUGGUGAGAGUGGAAAGCUCAUCAAGUGACGGUAACUACCCAGAAAGGGACGGCUAACUACGUG
rnacentral:rRNA from 1 species